rnacentral:rRNA from 1 species
UACGAAGGGGGCUAGCGUUGCUCGGAAUCACUGGGCGUAAAGGGUGCGUAGGCGGGUCUUUUAAGUCAGGGGUGAAAUCCUGGAGCUCAACUCCAGAACUGCCUUUGAUACUGAAGAUCUUGAGUUCGGGAGAGGUGAGUGGAACUGCGAGUGUAGAGGUGAAAUUCGUAGAUAUUCGCAAGAACACCAGUGGCGAAGGCGGCUCACUGGCCCGAUACUGACGCUGAGGCACGAAAGCGUGGGGAGCAACAGG